GUGAGGAAUAUUGCGCAAUGGAGGCAACUCUGACGCAGCCAUGCCGCGUGCAGGAAGAAGGCGCUACGCGUUGUAAACUGCUUUUAACCGGGAAGAAACCCCAGGACGUGUCCUGGGUUGACGGUACCGGAGGAAUAAGCACCGGCUAACUUCGUGCCAGCAGCCGCGGUAAUACGAAGGGUGCAAGCGUUAUCCGGAUUCAUUGGGUUUAAAGGGUGCGUAGGCGGAGCGUUAAGUCAGUGGUGAACUCCUGCAGCUUAACUGUAGACUUGCCAUUGAUACUGGCGCUCUUGAGUGCGCUUGAAGUGGGCGGAAUGUGCCGUGUAGCGGUGAAAUGCUUAGAUAUGGCACAGAACACCAAUUGCGAAGGCAGCUCACUAAGGCGAUACUGACGCUGAGGCACGAAAGCGUGGGGAUCGAACAGGAUUAGAAACCCGGGUAGUCC
rnacentral:rRNA from 1 species